UACAGAGGUCCCAAGCGUUGUUCGGAUUCACUGGGCGUAAAGGGUGCGUAGGCGGUCGAGUAAGUCUGACGUGAAAUCUCCGGGCCUAACCCGGAAACUGCGUUGGAAACUACUUGGCUAGAGGAAUGGAGGGGAGACUGGAAUACUUGGUGUAGCAGUGAAAUGCGUAGAUAUCAAGUGGAACACCAGUGGCGAAGGCGAGUCUCUGGACAUUUCCUGACGCUGAGGCACGAAAGCGUGGGGAGCAAACAGG
rnacentral:rRNA from 1 species